rnacentral:rRNA from 1 species
UGAGGUUAAGUUAACAAGGGCGCAUGGUGAAUGCCUUGGCACUAGGAGCCGAUGAAGGACGGGACUAACACCGAUAUGCUUCGGGGAGCUGUACGUAAGCUAUGAUCCGGAGAUUUCCGAAUGGGGCAACCCAGCAGUUUUAAUCAACUGUUACCACUAGAUGAAUUCAUAGUCUAGUUGGAGGUAAACGCUGUGAACUGAAACAUCUUAUUAGCAGCAGGAAUAUAAAGAAAUUUCGAUUCCCUAAGUAGCGGCGAGCG